UACAGGGGGUGCAAACGUUGCUCGGAAUCAUUGGGCGUAAAGCGCACGUAGGCGGUCUGUUAUGUCGGAUGUGAAAGCCCUUGGCUUAACUGAGGAAGUGCAUCCGAAACUGGCAGGCUAGAGUACUAAAGAGGGUCGCGGAAUUCCCGGUGUAGAGGUGAAAUUCGUAGAUAUUCGCAAGAACACCAGUGGCGAAGGCGGCUCACUGGCCCGGUACUGACGCUGAGGCACGAAAGCGUGGGAGCAAACAGG
rnacentral:rRNA from 1 species